UACGGAGGGGGCGAGCGUUAUUCGGAAUUAUUGGGCGUAAAGGGCGCGUAGGCGGCUGUACAAGUCAAAGGUGAAAUCCCUCGGCUCAACUGAGGAACUGCCUUUGAAACUGUACGGCUUGAGGCCGGGAGGGGGUAGCGGAAUUCCCAGUGUAGCGGUGAAAUGCGUAGAUACUGGGAGGAACACCAGUGGCGAAGGCGGCUACCUGGACCGGUUCUGACGCUGAGACGGCGAAAGCGUGGGAGCAACAGG
rnacentral:rRNA from 1 species